rnacentral:rRNA from 1 species
UACGGGGGGGUGCGAGCGUUGUCCGGAAUCACUGGGCGUAAAGGGCGCGUAGGUGGCCUGAUAAGGGUGUGGUGAAAGUCCGGGGCUUAACCCCGGAUCUGCCGUGCCGACUGUUAGGCUAGAGUGCUGUAGGGGCAGGCGGAAUUCCGGGUGUAGCGGUGGAAUGCGCAGAUAUCAGGAGGAACACCGAUGGCGAAGGCAGGUCACUGGGCCGCAACUGACGCUGAGGAGCGAAAGCAUGGGGGAGCGAACAGG